rnacentral:tRNA from 1 species
GGGCGCAUAGCGCAGUGGGUAGCGCGUCCGCUUUGCAAGCGGAAGGCCCCGGGUUCAAUCCCCGGUGUGUCCA